GAGAGCCCCGCUCGCCGCCGGCCGUGAGGUACGCCUCUCUCUCUCUCUCUCUCUCUCUCGUCAACCCUGGGAUCAGCCUGCAACUGCGGGGCGGAGAGCUCGAGACAACUAUCACCCGCGUCGUGUCGGGGGCAGGGCAGGAGACGCCGUAUGGCCGGUGACGGUGGGGAAGAGGUGACGGUGGGGAAGAGGAAAUGGAGGGGGGGGGGGGGAGGGGGAGGGCGGUGCUCACGCCCCCCCCCUUGCCACCCCGCGACGUCAGAUCGAUGUCGGCGGCAUCGGAUGGCGGGCGCGAGGCGAAGAAGGGCGAAGGCGGUGGACCGGGGGGAUUUUAAAGGAGAAGAGGAGGCUGCAGUGUGCGAAGGACGGAGGCGGCAGCUGCGUGCACUGGUUGCGGGAUCGGCGUCACGUCCAGGGAAAGCCAACGACGCGGACGAGGCACAGGAUUUGCAGUGCAGCGGAUUUGGCGGCGACCGUUGUGGAACGCGGCGUUAGCGAGGAGGUGAGCAGCCGGCGCGCGUGGGCAAGGAUGGGCGCGAGGCGGCGAGGACGUGGCACGAGCACACCGCUGAGACGCAACCGGCACAUCAUGGCAGUGAGGCGCGGCUGACGGUGCGAUGCGGCGAGGCGAAGUGCGGGGCAGAGUGGCGGCACGGGUUGCGGCGCGACGAGCUAGGGCGGGGUUCAGCGGCACACAGCUUUGUUUAGGGUUUCUUGUAUAUCGCCGCGGCGGAUGCGUUCCAAGCCCCAACGCCGUGACCCGCAUCGGUUUACAUGAGGGUCCGAGACGGAAUGCAGAGUUAAAAACUUGAGUUCGACAAGCUUGCGGGAUUUGAGUCGACGGAGGGAGGUGAGUCCGGUUUGGCCUGGAGUGUAGGAGUGGAGUAGUUCUAGGUGGGUGCGUCCAAUGUGCAUUUAUAAUUAUUCUUCUAUUGUCAACGGCAAAUUUGAGUUGAUUAGGCUGGAUUUUUUUGGCUUAAUUUUUCUCAAAAAAAAAGGGUAAGAAUCAAUCAACUAAUUAUUUGCAUUGUAUUUGAAGAGAGGUAUGUAUGUGUUUGAAGGUUGUGACGUGAAAAGGGUUAUUUCUGUUAUAUAAAACUUUUCUCAGCCCAAUGCUGAACAAAAUGGUAUCACUGGUAAUCUGUUACUAUUCUAGCUUUCCUCUAUUGCUUGUGUUUCGGCUUUUUUGAUUUUAUGUAACUUUGCAAAGCAAUGUGCAUGAUGCAGGUUCUUAUCCUACUUUAUGCCUGUGUUGAGGGGGAUUCUGCUAUUACUCUGCGACCCGAAAGACUUUCCUGCCAAUAUUAUUUGCAUAGGGAGAAACCCUUCCUAAGGAGUCCCAUUGGGUGAUAUGGCAAGUAGAAAUGUGGCUAUAUUGAUGAUGUCAAGAGCAUUCCUCUCU
rnacentral:lncRNA from 1 species